UGAAAACAAAAACUACGAUUGUGAUGGAAAGGGAGAAGCUGUGGUUAGAAUUGAAUCAAUUUAAAACAAAGGUUCCUCUUAUGGUUGUAAUGAAAACUGAGCGAUCAAGAAGUUGCACAAUUGAUUGGAAGAGAUCCUCAUUACAGUUCGCUACUUAUGCCAUCCUUUGAGGAAUGUACAAGAUGUGGUGUAUCCACACAAGCCCAAGCAUUGGAGUACCUUGAUUCAAAAUCAAAGUGAAAUCAAAGGUGAGUUAUUAUUAUUCCCAUUCACAAAGGAUUUCUCC